GGAUAGCUGGCUGAGUGGUCGAAAGCAGCGGUCUUGAAAACCGCCGUAGCAGUAAUGUUACCAGGGGUUCGAAUCCCUUGCUAUCCGCCA
rnacentral:tRNA from 1 species